UAAAAUGGAAAUGUCUUCUCAGAUAUAACACAGCUGAGGAUGUGCUGAGGGAGAGUGCACAACUGAGCACAAAAGAUCUGGGUGAAAGAGCACGUGCUGCAGCUGAACUCCUAAAGCCCUCUCCAAACCAGAGGCUAAGCUAAUGAUGAGACAUGAAGACCGUUUAGAGACAGCACGACUCCAGCAAUCCAUGAGAACAAUGCAAAGUUCAAAAAUAGCAGUAUCGACUGGUGGAAAAACAACAUACAUAUAAUUUUCAGCUUUCUUGGGGAAAAAAAAGAAGAGCGGAAAGAAAGGAAAAAAGAAGAUGGACAUUCAAAUCCAUUUUCUCACCAGAGAAAGGUGAGCAAAUGUACACGCAGAAACAGAUUCAUUCCUUGGGGCACAGUAUCAUCCAGUGCAAUCGAGUUUUGAAUCAUAGAAUCAUUAAGGUUGGAGAAGACCUCUAAGAUCACGCAGUCCAACUGUCAGAUCAUCCCCACCAUGCCCGCUAACCAUGUCCCUCAGUACCACAUCCAUGCAGUUCUUGAACUCCUCAAGGGAUGAUGAAUCCACCAUCUCCCUGGGCAGUCUGUUCCAAAAUAUCAGCAAGGCUGAACGAAUGUAUUUUCACGUGAGCACUCUGCAGCAGUGGUCAUCCAGCCUUUAUUUUUCUUCCCACAUCGUGCUUUAUGAAGGUGUUAGACUUACAGGGUUUGAGCAGGAGGGAACCUCCUCUCCUGGGGAACCAUAGGAAGACCCCGUCCUGUCCAUCCUCACUGAAAACCACCUCUAUUUGACAUCACCACUACUUAAUUUUGACACAGUCCAUGUAUAGAAUAGCUUAACUCCAAAGGGCGGGCCUUAAGAACAUUAGCAGGGCGCUAUGAGCCAGCAGAUAUUGCCCAUUGGUAGUAGGGAGGAAAAGGCUAAGCAAAUAGUUUUAAAGAAUGGGCUAAUUGUGUGCCUAUUGCCAUUGUCCUGCAGCUGCAGUGCUUUGUAUGGCAGCAAAGUGCACGGGGAGCCAAGCUUGGCUUGGCAUCCAUAACUCCAGCCUGGGAAUACAAUAUACAGGGCAUGCAAGUAUCAGAGAGGACAAUUAGAAAUUUUGAAAGAUUAAACACAAAAUUGCAAUGGAAAAAGAGUUUGUAUAGCAGCCAAGGCAGGCUUUGAGGGCUUGGUGUUGUAAAAUGCACUCAUGUGUACAAUAAGAAGGCAAGUUGAUAUUUAGGAACUGAAAAAACAGGAAACAUGCAGAUGAGGCUUGUAUGUGUCACACUGUAACGCUGCAUGUGUAAUUAAAGAUGAUAGUAACUCAUUUACAUGUGCUUUCCAUCCUGCAAUAACACUGUUCUAUCAGCAGGCCUAAGGACAUAAAACAGGUAACCUUAACAGAACGGUUCAGAUUUUUUCCCUAAUUUAGGAUUUUAGGUGGUUAGCUCUCUGUGCAUUUUAAUAACACAGGCACCAGUGAUGUAAUUAAUGCUCUUACCUAAAUAAGUACCAGCCUUUAUUUUGGGCCUAAUUUGAGAUGGUGGUAAUGUAACAUUGCACUUAGCUGUGCAUUCAGGGGAGAUGUGUGCACCAGCUGAGUUUCAGUUACUUUACAUUGCUGAACUUACUGAAUAGCACGUGGAGCCAUUCCAUGUACGUUGUAUAUAAAGAAUUAAAAGAAUCUAUUCUAUCACUUGACAUGCUGGCUACUCCAUUCUGC
ensembl:lncRNA